ensembl:snoRNA U3 Small nucleolar RNA U3
AAGACUAUACUUUCAGGGAUCAUUUCUAUAGUUCUUGACUUGAGAAAUGUGUUUCUAAAGUGUUUGGUCUCGCUAACCACGAUGAAGAGUGGAAGUGUUUCUUUCUGAGCGCGAAGCGGGUAGAGAUGGACGAUUUUAUCGACACAUCUCUACUUUUGAUGACCGUUCACUGUCCCUCCGGGGACUCUGAGGGAAGAAACGCAUUCAGAGUGGU